AUUGAACGCUGGCGGCAUGCUUUACACAUGCAAGUCGAACGGUAACAGGCCGCCAGGUGCUGACGAGUGGCGAACGGGUGAGUAAUGCAUCGGAACGUGCCCAGUCGUGGGGGAUAACUACUCGAAAGAGUAGCUAAUACCGCAUACGAUCUAUGGAUGAAAGCGGGGGACCGUAAGGCCUCGCGCGAUUGGAGCGGCCGAUGUCAAAUUAGGUAGUUGGUGGGGUAAAGGCUCACCAAGCCAACGAUCUGUAGCUGGUCUGAGAGGACGACCAGCCACACUGGGACUGAGACACGGCCCAGACUCCUACGGGAGGCAGCAGUGGGGAAUUUUGGACAAUGGGCGCAAGCCUGAUCCAGCAAUGCCGCGUGCAGGAAGAAGGCCUUCGGGUUGUAAACUGCUUUUGUACGGAACGAAACGGCUCUGGUUAAUACCCGGGGCUAAUGACGGUACCGUAAGAAUAAGCACCGGCUAACUACGUG
rnacentral:rRNA from 1 species